AAUUGUUUGGAAAAAUGACUUGCUAUCUUUGUUUUUUGGGAAAAAGAAGAAAAUUUCUUCUCCAACAGAUUGGAAUAAGACUUGCUAAAUUUUUUCAAGUUGGAAAAAGGAGGAGCCGCGCGCGGAUCUUUCAGCAGUCGUCGUCGCUUGCUAUCCUGCGGCGCGACUGAUUUUCCCCCGCGCCGCCACUUCUCCCGCGCACAGUGUGAAACUUCCAUUGCCCGUUCCUUCGUCGCCUCCUUCCACGAUCUCGUCCUUUCCCGAGUGGAGUCUUCGUCGUCGCCUCCACCAUCCUCUCUCGGCCUUCAUCGACCGGCCGGGUGCCCUCCAUCCCUGCGCCUUUUGUGUCGGCCCGUGCUGUUCUUGCACCGGCUUUGAGGUGGGUGCCCCUGGACGGCGGCGGCGACGUCCUCACGAAGCAGAAGUGGUUAAGAUCCAUCCAUCCCGUUCUUGAGUUCUUGGCUCCCUCUUUUCUUUGCUCGUUUCCUGGACGCGAAUUCUUUGGGCGUCGGCUUUGAGGUGGGUGCCCCCCGGGUGCUGUUCUUGCGUCUUUUGUGGUUUGGGGCUGGGAGUACUUGAGUUCCUGUCUGUUCUUGGUGUCCUUGUGAUGAUUCUUCAGUCUCUGUUUCUGAAAGGGGGAAGAAAAUCAUUUUUUGGAUCUUUGAUGCUGCUACUACUGUCUGCUGACUUUUUCUACUGAUGAUUUUCUUUGCUUUUGCAGGUUCUGAUCCACAGCUCUCUCGAUUCCGGAAGGUAGGCAGGCAGGAACCUGAGGCGGCAGAAGCUGGUGACCUUUGUCGAAGGUGAUGGCCGGAGGAAGCCGCGAGCGCGAGGACAUUGAAAUCUGUUGGACCGGUAUAUGUGGGUCUAUUUUUCUAUGUUACCAAGCCCAAUUUACCAAACUAUUGGAGAUACAAGAAAAAUUCACUUGCCAAAAGGUUUAGCAAGUUGCCAAAUGAUAAUUUUUUCCAAGUCAAUUUUUCCAAACAAUUGGAAAUGCUCUAAUAAAUAACUUUAGACUCUA